GCCCGCGCUGGUCGAGGCGUCGUGCGGCGAUCUCGGGGAUGGCCGGAAUCGGACGUCUUGCGGGGUCGUCUGCUGCCGUGGGCCC
rnacentral:tRNA from 1 species